rnacentral:misc_RNA from 1 species
UUGUUUAAUUUAACUUGUUCUCAGACUUCAAUUUUCUAGGUAGGGUUGGCUGAUUCCGGCAAGCGAGGGGCCUCCGCGAGCAGAGGGUCCCCCGCCGAGCGCCGAAUCCGGGCCGCGGUUGCAAAGGGUGGGGUUGGAGGCGCGAGGCCUUUACCCAGUAAUGAUCCUUCCGCAGGUUCACCUACGGAAA